UCAAACUUGGUCAUUUAGAGGAAGUAAAAGUCGUAACAAGGUCUCCGUUGGUGAACCAGCGGAGGGAUCAUUACAGAGUAAUUCAGCUCCCAAAAACCAUGUGAACUCACCUACGUUGCCUCGGUGGUAAAGGCCUACCCGGUACUUACCCGGUAGUCAGCCGCCGGUGGACCUAAACUCGUCUUUACUGUGGCACUCUGAGUUAUUACUAUAAUAAGUUAAAACUUUCAACAACGGAUCUCUUGGUUCUGGCAUCGAUGAAGAACGCAGC
rnacentral:misc_RNA from 1 species